GGACUACUGGGGUAUCUAAUCCUGUUUGCUCCCCACGCUUUCGCGUUUCAGCGUCAGCAACGAGCCAGAGGGCCGCCUUCGCCGCCGGUAUUCCUCCUGAUAUCUACGCAUUUCACCGCUACACCAGGAAUUCUACCCUCCUCUAUCGCGCUCUAGCUGGCUAGUUUCCAAUGCCCUUCCGGGGCUAAGCCCCGGGCUUUCACAUCAGACUUGACCAACCGCCUACACGCCCUUUACGCCCAGUCAAUCCGAACAACGCUCGCACCCUCCGUCUUACCGCGGCGGCUGGCAC
rnacentral:rRNA from 1 species